GGUUUAUAUAACAAAGUAACAAGGGGAGUUAUGUACACAAGGGAAGAAGCCGAAGGAAGAAGGCUGAAGAACCCGUUUGAUACAAUAACCGAAGGGAUUGGAAUAAAUAGACUAACUGAAAAUUUUAAGAUGGCAAAACUUGAUGGAGCUUUCCGAGGCACAGAUAUGGAAGCUGUUGAAAUGUCCAGGUAUCUGUUGAAAAAUGAUGGUCUAUUUAUUGGAAGUUCUUCAGCGAUGAAUUGCGUUGGAGCUGUCAGAGUGGCAAAGGCACUAGGUCCAGGGCAUACAAUUGUGACAAUCUUGUGUGACAGUGGUAUGAGACACUUGAGUAAGUUUCACAAUGAUAAAUACCUAUCUGAACAUGGGUU
rnacentral:misc_RNA from 1 species